rnacentral:lncRNA from 1 species
AACAAAAAAAACAUUUAAAAAAUCUAAAAUAAAAAAAAAAAAAUUAAAACUUUAUCAAAAUCAAAACUUUAAAGGCUUGAGAAUUGAAUCAAUCUCCUCUUAUAAACACAUAGUAUUAUUGUUCUCAAUUUGGUCAAAAAAAAAAAAAAAACAGUGGGAACAAAAAAGUAAAGGGCAAUAUAGAGGGGGCAUGUUGUACUGCCUCCUCUGUAGAUCUUGUUGAUUUUUUCAUUUGGGUAUUUUCAAAAGGCAGAAUCUUGAUUUGGGUAUUUCUUAUUUUCCUCAAAAGUCUUUUAAGUUUGAUGAAAUAUUUUCAUUGUUGGGUUGCUGUAUGCUUGAGCUUUUACCUUUGGAUUCUUGUUUGUUUGUUUCUUUAAGGAUCGGAUUCCUUUUGAUUGAAUCUGAUAAUAUUUUGAUCAGUUUCAGAUUCUUGUCUGUUUGUGAGGCUCUCUUAAUACUACUUCAUAGUAAAGGUACGACCUUUACUGCUUUGCUG